ACAAGGACAGCACAUUGAUCAUGCAACUUCUUCGAGACAAUCUGACUCUUUGGACUUCUGAUAUAACGGAUGAUGCUGGGGACGAGAUCAAGGACACUUCAAAACCCGAAUCUGGUGAGGAACAGCAGUGACAGUAGCGUUGUAGAGUUGUGAGCACCAUUUGUUGUUCUACCAUUGAAUUUCUUCUGUUGUAGCAAGACUUGAGGGAUUUGGUAUGUCGAGUGCAGUAGUCCCUUGAAUCUUGAAACGUUUUUUGUUAUAAGAACAUAGAGUCAGUUAUAAGGCGUGCAAACUUAUUUAUUUGUCAUGUUUUAUUAUUAUUUUUUUAUUUGUACUCUAUUUGUUGGUCGCACUAAGCAAUAUGUAUUGAAUUGGAGGAUCAAAUUUAUUUUGCAAGUUUUAUGAUUUCUGUAGUACAUCAUUUGGAUU